UACGUAGGGACCGAGCGUUGUCCGGAAUCAUUGGGCGUAAAGAGCGUGUAGGCGGCUAUUUAAGUCCUGCGUGAAAUCCUGCGGCUCAACCGCAGACGGUCGUGGGAAACUGGAUGGCUAGAGUGCGGGAGAGGAGAGUGGAAUUCCCGGUGUAGCGGUGAAAUGCGCAGAUAUCAGGAAGAACACCCGUGGCGAAGGCGGCUCUCUGGAACGCAACUGACGCUGAGACGCGAAAGCGUGGGGAGCAAACAGG
rnacentral:rRNA from 1 species